GGCUUUGCUUAGUGACAGUAUUGUAGCCGAUGAGGUUUAUCCCUGGCAUGAUUAUUGCUAAUUGAAAACUUUUCCCAAUACCCCGCCAUGAUGACUUGCAAUAUAGUCAGCAUUGGCAAUUUUUGGCAGUCUCUAUGGAGA